UACGUAGGUGGCAAGCGUUGUCCGGAUUUACUGGGCGUAAAGAGCGCGCAGGCGGUCGUGCAAGUCGCGUGUGAAAGCCCCCGGCUCAACUGGGGAGGGUCACGCGAUACUGAUCGACUCGAAGGCAGGAGAGGGUAGUGGAGUUCCCGGUGUAGUGGUGAAAUGCGUAGAUAUCGGGAGGAACACCAGUGGCGAAGGCGACUACCUGGCCUGUUCUUGACGCUGAGGCGCGAAAGCUAGGGGAGCAAACGGG
rnacentral:rRNA from 1 species